UUUUUUGAUAGAGCACAAGCAGGGGAGCAGCAGAGCGAGAGGGAGAAACAGGCUCCCUGCUGAGAAGGAGGCCUGAUGCCACUGGAUCCCAGGACCCCUGGAAUCAUGAUCUGAACCAAAGACAGAUAUUUAACUAAAGCCACCCAGGUGCCCCAAGAUAUAAUUUUUCAAAGAAUGAUGGGACAUUCCCUGGGAGUCAGAGGUCAGAGUUGCAGGACCUGGAUCACUCAUAGUGUCAUUCGUAACAAGCAGAUAUGAUAUUGCUUUAUAUCCAUAUAGUGAACCUCCAGAAAGCACAGCAAUUUGUGGUAGUCUAAGAAGGAGGCAAUAGCCAAAAUCAAGGUAAAGAGUAGGAAAUGGAUGAAGAAAGAGAAAGAAAGGAAAGAUGGAAGGGUGAUGGAGAUAACAAUAAAAAAGUAAGGGUGAAAAAAUGAAAUAUGUAGGGAUAUAAAAUAAAUCACACAAUCCACUUAUUAAGUUUCACAUGCUAUACUUCACCUUUCCCACAAAUGAUACUAUAUAGUCUCACUGAAACCUUUCUUUAAACAGAUUUAUUUGUUUAUUUGAGAGAAAGAGAGAGACAAACAGCAUGAGCAAGAGGAGAGGCAGAGGGAGAGAAUCUUCAAGCAGAUUCCCUUCUGAGCCCAGUGCCCAUGCGGAGCUUGAUCUCAUGACUAGGAGAUCAUGACCUGAGCCAAAGUGUCACAUACUCAACCGACUAAGCCAUUCAGGCACCGCUCAUUGAAACCAAUUUUAAAAAUAGGUAUCGAGGAGGAGGGGCAGGAUGGCGGAAGAUUAGGGUCUUCAAGUCACCUGUCUCCACCAAAUUACCUAGAAAACCUUCAAAUUAUCCUGAAAAUCUAUGAAUUCGGCCAGAGAUUUAAAGAGAGACCAGCUGGAAUGCUACAGUGAGAAGAGUUCGCGCUUCUAUCAAGGUAGGAAGACGGGGAAAAAGAAAUAAAGAAACAAAAGGCCUCCAAGGGGGAGGGGCCCGCGAGGAGCCGGCCUGAGGCCGGGGCGAGUGUCCCCAGGACAGGAGAGCCCCGUCCCGGAGGAGCAGGAGCUGCACCGACCUUCCCGGGCGGAAAGGGGCCCGCAGGGAGUUGGAGCAGGACCCAGGAGGGCGGGGAUGCCCUCGGGCUCCCGGGGACACUAACAGACACCUGCGCCCCGGGAGAGCGCCGAGCUCCCUAAGGGCUGCAGCGCGCACGGCGGGACCCGGAGCAGCUCGGGGGGCUCGGGGGCGGCUCCGCGGAGGGGGCUGCGGGGCGGGAGCGCGAAUCCACCAGCGCAGGCCCCGGAGCACAGGGCGCUGGGACACAGCCCAGGAUCCCGCC
rnacentral:lncRNA from 1 species